GGGGGCUUGUUUGGGUUGUCGCUGCUAACGAGAAUUGGGGUAUUAAUAAUAUCCGGCCCCCU
rnacentral:tRNA from 2 species